rnacentral:rRNA from 1 species
CCUACGGGGGGCAGCACUGGGGAAUAUUGGACAAUGGGGGCAACCCUGAUCCAGCCAUGCCGCGUGUGUGAAGAAGGCCCUCGGGUUGUAAAGCACUUUCAGUGAGGAAGAACGCCUGGUGGUUAAUACCCAUCAGGAAAGACAUCACUCACAGAAGAAGCACCGGCUAACUCCGUGCCAGCAGCCGCGGUAAUACGGAGGGUGCGAGCGUUAAUCGGAAUUACUGGGCGUAAAGCGCGCGUAGGUGGCUUGAUAAGCCGGUUGUGAAAGCCCCGGGCUCAACCUGGGAACGGCAUCCGGAACUGUCAAGCUAGAGUGCAGGAGAGGAAGGUAGAAUUCCCGGUGUAGCGGUGAAAUGCGUAGAGAUCGGGAGGAAUACCAGUGGCGAAGGCGGCCUUCUGGACUGACACUGACACUGAGGUGCGAAAGCGUGGGUAGCAAACAGGAUUAGAUACCCUUGUAGUC